rnacentral:rRNA from 1 species
AUUGAACGCUGGCGGCAUGCCUUACACAUGCAAGUCGAACGGUAACAGGUUAAGCUGACGAGUGGCGAACGGGUGAGUAAUGUAUCGGAACGUGCCCAGUCGUGGGGGAUAACUGCUCGAAAGAGCAGCUAAUACCGCAUACGACCUGAGGGUGAAAGCGGGGGAUCGCAAGACCUCGCGCGAUUGGAGCGGCCGAUAUCAGAUUAGGUAGUUGGUGAGGUAAAGGCUCACCAAGCCGACGAUCUGUAGCUGGUCUGAGAGGACGACCAGCCACACUGGGACUGAGACACGGCCCAGACUCCUAUGGGAGGCAGCAGUGGGGAAUUUUGGACAAUGGGCGCAAGCCUGAUCCAGCCAUGCCGCGUGCGGGAAGAAGGCCUUCGGGUUGUAAACCGCUUUUGUCAGGGAAGAAAAGGUUCUGGCUAAUACCUGGGACUCAUGACGGUACCUGAAGAAUAAGCACCGGCUAACUACGUG